rnacentral:rRNA from 1 species
AUUGAACGCUGGCGGCAGGCCUAACACAUGCAAGUCGAGCGGAUGAAGGGAGCUUGCUCCUGGAUUCAGCGGCGGACGGGUGAGUGAUGCCUAGGAAUCUGCCUGGUAGUGGGGGAUAACGUCCGGAAACGGGCGCUAAUACCGCAUACGUCCUGAGGGAGAAAGUGGGGGAUCUUCGGACCUCUCGCUCUCAGAUGAGCCUAGGUCGGAUUAGCUAGUUGGUGGGGUAAAGGCCUACCAAGGCGACGAUCCGUAACUGGUCUGAGAGGAUGAUCAGUCACACUGGAACUGAGACACGGUCCAGACUACUACGGGAGGCAGCAGUGGGGAAUAUUGGACAAUGGGCGAAAGCCUGAUCCAGCCAUGCCGCGUGUGUGAAGAAGGUCUUCGGAUUGUAAAGCACUUUAAGUUGGGAGGAAGGGCAGUAAGUUAAGACCUUGCUGUUUUGACGGUACCAACAGAAUAAGCACCGGCUAACUUCGUG